GAUGAACGCUGGCGGCGUGCUUAACACAUGCAAGUCGAACGAAGCACUGUUGAUAGAUUCUUCGGAUGAUAGAUACAGUGACUGAGUGGCGGACGGGUGAGUAACGCGUGGGUAACCUGCCUCAUACAGGGGGAUAACAGUUAGAAAUGACUGCUAAUACCGCAUAAGCGCACAGUACUGCAUGGUACAGUGUGAAAAACUCCGGUGGUAUGAGAUGGACCCGCGUCUGAUUAGCUAGUUGGUGGGGUAACGGCCCACCAAGGCGACGAUGAGUGGCCGGCCUGAGGGGGUGACCGGCCACAUUGGGACUGGGACACGGCCCAAACUCGUACGGGAGGCAGCAGUGGGGAAUAUUGCACAAUGGGCGAAAGCCUGAUGCAGCGACGCCGCGUGAGCGAAGAAGUAUUUCGGUAUGUAAAGCUCUAUCAGCAGGGAAGAAAAUGACGGUACCUGACUAAGAAGCACCGGCUAAAUACGUGCCAGCCGCCGCAGUAAAAC
rnacentral:rRNA from 1 species